rnacentral:rRNA from 1 species
UACGUAGGGUGCGAGCGUUGUCCGGAAUUAUUGGGCGUAAAGGGCUCGUAGGCGGUUUGUCACGUCGGGAGUGAAAACUCAGGGCUCAACCCUGAGCCUGCUUCCGAUACGGGCAGACUAGAGGUAUGCAGGGGAGAACGGAAUUCCUGGUGUAGCGGUGAAAUGCGCAGAUAUCGGAGGAAGACACCGGUGGCGAAGGCGGGUCUCUGGGCCGUACUGACUCGUGAGGAGCGAAAGCGUGGGGAG